rnacentral:rRNA from 1 species
CGCGUAGGCGGGAUGGCAAGUCGGUCGUGAAAUCCCUCGGCUCAACCGAGGAACGUCGAUCGAUACUGCCGUUCUUGAGGAUUGCAGAGGAGACUGGAAUUCCCGGUGUAGCGGUGAAAUGUGUAGAGAUCGGGAGGAACACCGGUGGCGAAGGCGGGUCUCUGGGCAAUUCCUGACGCUGAGGCGCGAAAGCGUGGGGAGCAAACGGGAUUAGAUACCCCGGUAGUCCACGCUGUAAACGAUGAGCACUAGGUGUGGGGGGGUUCAGUCCCUUCCGUGCCGCAGCUAACGCAUUAAGUGCUCCGCCUGGGGAGUACGGCCGCAAGGUUGAA